AACGAACGCUGGCGGCAUGCCUAACACAUGCAAGUCGAACGAGACCGUCGGGUCUUUUUGCGCACGUGUGCUUAACGCGUGGGAACCUGCCCUUAGGUUCGCUAUACCUCCCCGAAAGGUGUGCUAAUACCGCAUAAUCUCUUCCGACCAAAGAUCUAUCGCGUUUGGAUGGGCCCGCGUUGGAUUAGCCAGUUGGUAGUGUAAUAGCCUAUCAAGGCGAGGAUGCAUAGCUGGUCUGAGAGGAUGAUCAGCCACACUGGACAUGAGACACGGACCAGAAUCGUACGGGAGGGAGCAGUGGGGAAUAUUGGACGAUGGGGGAAGGUCUGAUCAAGCAAUGCCGGGUGAGAGAGGAAGGGGGUAGGGUUGUAAAGCUCUUUUAGACGGGAUGAUAAUGACAGUACCGGGAGAAGAAGCACCGGCUAACUACGUG
rnacentral:rRNA from 1 species